GAUGAAGAACGUAGCGAAAUGCGAUAAGUAAUGCGAAUUGCAGAAUUCAGUGAAUCAUCGAAUCUUUGAACGCACAUUGCGCCCGCCAGCAUUCUGGCGGGCAUGCCUGUUCGAGCGACAUUUCAACCCUCGAGCCCCCCCGGGGGCCUCGGUGUUGGGGGACGGCACACCAGCCGCCCCCGAAAUGCAGUGGCGACCCCGCCGCAGCCUCCCCUGCGUAGUAGCACACACCUCGCACCGGAGCGCGGAGGCGGUCACGCCGUAAAACGCCCAACUUUCUUAGAGUUGACCUCGGAUCAGGUAGGAAUACCCGCUGAACUUAAGCAUAUCAAUAAGCGGAGGA
rnacentral:misc_RNA from 1 species